UUUUCAGUUUUUUCAUUUGUGCUCUUUCUUUGUUUGGAUCGUUGUCUUUUCCGAUUCUGUAUCCCUCAACAAAAGAAGGACGAUAAGUAGGAAGAGGAGUUGGCUUGACGUGAUAAAGACGAAGAUAACUCAUUCCUUUAUUUCUUCUCUCUCCUACUUCUUUUAUUGCUCUAUGAAGAU
rnacentral:ribozyme from 13 species